UGGUGGGACAGAAGGGUUGAUCUGAAAGAAAACUGUGUUCUUUUAUUUGCACAAUUCCAGGAGGAGAAUGCGAAACAAAUACAGGCUGUUCUUUGCAACUAAGGGCAUUUAAUUAAUCAGCUCUUAAACGUGAGCAGAUUAUUGUAGUCUAGCAGAUUUCAAGUUUAAGAUAUCUGUGACGGGUAUUUCUAUUAAGAAAGAAAAUCAAGAUCCUUAUGUUCCUUGCCAUUCAUUCAUUUUUUUCUGUUUUUUAUUUCAGAUAUUGAUGAAUGCCAGGCUGAUAAUGGUGGAUGUGAUCAGUUCUGUAGAAACACUAUUGGUAGUUUUGACUGCAGCUGCAAAAAAGGCUUCAAAUUAUUAUCUGAUGAAAAAUUAUGUCAGGACAUUGAUGAAUGCUUGUUCGAAAGGACAUGUGACCAUAUAUGCAUCAAUCACCCAGGCACUUUUGAGUGUACUUGCAACCAAGGAUACACACUCUAUGGCUUUACACAUUGUGGAGGUGAGUAUAUAUAAUAUUACUGAAGACUUGCUUAUUGGGGUGUUAUUUCCUUACUCUUAACAUCAAGAGGAAAAGUAGAUUUUAAGCCUGGUGCUGCAGAUUUUUCCAAUGUUUUCUUUUCUUCUUUUUGCACAGUAGGAAGUAGAAGUCUGACUUUGGACAUAUCAGGUUUUUCCUUCAGGAGCUUCCCCACCUUACUUUUAUUGGAAAGGGAGAACAAACAGUUGCAUACCAUAUUUGGGUGUUAUUAACUGGAUUUUGUAAGAUGGUUACCUGAAAAACAUACAUUAGUUCCCUUUCUUAAUUCACACAGUAGUUACCUUCAAGGUUAAAUAGAUUAUGCCCAAAAUCUGCUUCAGGCUUUGUGUGUAAGAGCAAUUGCACAAAAUUUUGUCUGUCUGGCAUGCUCCCAUUUACACAAUUGCUGUCAUGACUGGUAGUGUCACCAAUUCUGCUAUCAGUGCUUGUCCAUUCAUAUAAAGGAGAUCCUGUCAUAGGGAAAAAUGCUUAUAUGGUUAUCCUAACAUGACUGCAUAAGUGAAGAGGUUUCUAGCCCUAUGUUUAUUAUUCAGUAGGUUUUUGCAUCCAGAAAAGAAGAAAGUAGACAUAAAUAUUUUUUGUGAUGUAAAUCAACGGCAGUCUUGUGCGAUUGUAAAAAUAGGUUCAGCACCAGCUCUGUCAGUUGCUCCAAAGCCUCCCAACACUGGCUAGUCAGCAACAGAAGCCUUGGUGUGGAUUGACACCUUUUUUAAACCACACCACCACUUGCACUGUGUGCAGUGACUGAAGUAGCUGCAAAUCCACUUUUUGUUGUUGUGGCCAUUGCCUCCUUGCAUAAUUUUAUAUAUUCUGAACCUGCCUAAAUAUUUAUUCAUGUAAACAUUUGAGGCAAUUAGAGCCACAGUGAUAAGAUUUUUCUCUUAAAAACCCAUUUUCCUUCCCAUUCUUUUUCUUUAGAUAUUAAUGAGUGCAGCAUCAACAAUGGAGGGUGCCAGCAUACCUGCCUAAAUACACUGGGGGAUUAUCAGUGCCACUGUAAUGCUGGCUACAAACUACACUGGAACAAAAAGGACUGUGUUGGUAAGGUUCAAAAUUUAUGAAUAUUUUAAACACUUUAUUUGGUUCUCUGUAGAAGUUCAGCUAUCCUGCAUAAUUCAGGAUCAUACUAACAUAUUGUUGAUAUUUGCAAAUAUUGUAAUGUGAGUUUUUCUGGUUGUCAGCAGUAUUAAUAAAUGAAACAAAAUGGAAUGAAGACUUUAUUUC
ensembl:lncRNA